rnacentral:rRNA from 1 species
AUUGAACGCUGGCGGCAGGCCUAACACAUGCAAGUCGAACGAGCGGCGGACGGGUGAGUAAUGUCUGGGACACUGCGUGAUGGAGGGGGAUCACAACUGGAAACGGUAGCUCAUACCGCAUACCAUCAGAUGUGCCCAGAUGGGAUUAGCUUGUAGGUGGGGUAACGGCUAACCUAGGCGCCGCACCCUAGCUGGUCUGAGAGGAUGACCAGCCACACUGGAACUGAGACCCGGUCCAGACUCCUACGGGAGGCAGCAGUGGGGAAUAUUGCACAAUGGGCGCAAGCCUGAUGCAGCCAUGCCGCGUGUGUGAAGAAGGCCGUCGGAUUGUAAAGCACUUUCAGCGGGGAGGCGUUACCCGCAGAAGAAGCACCGGCUAACUUCGUGCCAGCAGCCGCGGUAAUUC